AGUGAACGCUGGCGGUAGGCCUAACACAUGCAAGUCGAACGGCAGCACAGUAAGAGCUUGCUCUUACGGGUGGCGAGUGGCGGACGGGUGAGGAAUACAUCGGAAUCUACUUUUUCGUGGGGGAUAAUGUAGGGAAACUUACGCUAAUACCGCAUACGACCUACGGGUGAAAGCAGGGGAUCUUCGGACCUUGCGCGAUUGAAUGAGCCGAUGUCGGAUUAGCUAGUUGGCGGGGUAAAGGCCCACCAAGGCGACGAUCCGUAGCUGGUCUGAGAGGAUGAUCAGCCACACUGGAACUGAGAAACGGUCCAGACUCCUACGGGAGGCGGCAGUGGGGAAUAUUGGACAAUGGGCGCAAGCCUGAUCCAGCCAUACCGCGUGGGUGAAGAAGGCCUUCGGGUUGUAAAGCCCUUUUGUUGGGAAAGAAAAGCAGCAGGUUAAUACCCCGCUGUUCUGACGGUACCCAAAGAAUAAGCACCGGCUAACUUCGUG
rnacentral:rRNA from 1 species